rnacentral:rRNA from 1 species
GAUGAACGCUGGCGGCGUGCCUAAUACAUGCAAGUCGAGCGAACAGACGAGGAGCUUGCUCCUCUGACGUUAGCGGCGGACGGGUGAGUAACACGUGGAUAACCUACCUAUAAGACUGGGAUAACUUCGGGAAACCGGAGCUAAUACCGGAUAAUAUAUUGAACCGCAUGGUUCAAUAGUGAAAGACGGUUUUGCUGUCACUUAUAGAUGGAUCCGCGCCGCAUUAGCUAGUUGGUAAGGUAACGGCUUACCAAGGCAACGAUGCGUAGCCGACCUGAGAGGGUGAUCGGCCACACUGGAACUGAGACACGGUCCAGACUCCUACGGUAGGCAGCAGUAGGGAAUCUUCCGCAAUGGGCGAAAGCUUGACGGAGCAACGCCGCGUGAGUGAUGAAGGUCUUCGGAUCGUAAAACUCUGUUAUUAGGGAAGAACAAAUGUGUAAGUAACUAUGCACGUCUUGACGGUACCUAACCAGAAAGCCACGGCUAACUACGUG